rnacentral:rRNA from 1 species
AAACCAACAGGGAUUGCCUCAGUAACGGCGAGUGAAGCGGCAUAAGCUCAAAUUUGAAACCUGGCCUAGCCCGGAUUGUAAUUUGUAGAGGAUGAUAAAGUCUUUGUAUUAGUUCAAGUCUUCUGGAACGAAGCGCCAUGGAGGGUGAGAGCCCCGUUGAAUUGGUACUAUGACUAUGUUUAUCUCCUUCGAAGAGUCGAGUUGUUUGGGAAUGCAGCUCAAAUUGGGUGGUAAAUUCCAUCUAAAGCUAAAUAUUGGCCAGAGACCGAUAGCGCACAAGUAGAGUGAUCGAAAGAUGAAAAGCACUUUGGAAAGAGAGUGAAACAGUACGUGAAAUUGUUGAAAGGGAAGCGUUUACAAUCAGACUUGUUUGCAGUUGUUCCGCCUUUCUUUGAAAGGUUCAUUCUUCUGUCUUCAGGCCAACAUCAAUUUCGAUAGUUGGAUAAAGGUUUUGGGAAUGUGGCUCCUCGGAGUGUUAUAGCCCUUUACACAAUACAACUUAUUGGGAUUGAGGUCAGCGUUCGCUAGGAUGUUGGCGUAAUGGUUGUCAGCGGC